rnacentral:tRNA from 1 species
CCUGGUGGCUCAGACAGUAAAGCAUCUGCCUGCAAUGUGGGAAACCUGGGUUCAAUUCCCGGGCCAGGA